AUGUACAGAGUUCCGGUUAUCACACCGUAUGAGUUCGACAUGAUCUUUUAUAUGAUGUCAACUUUUGUUGUUCCCGGUCAACAUACGUUUUGCCAAAUCACUAUUAAUGCGGCUUUGUUUCUCCUAGAGCACUGGAGCAAUCACAUCAUGAGAGGGUCAACAGACGACAAUCCGACAUGUGUCACCGACAGUGAAGGAAGCUGCCAUUCUACAGAAAGAACAAUCAUUCGAGCUACCCAUGAUGUGAGAGCGACAAGCAACCGUGAACCAUUGCACAUCAGCAACAAAAGAGUUAUCAAAUAUUAA
rnacentral:rRNA from 1 species